AUUGAACGCUGGCGGGAUGCUUUACACAUGCAAGUCGAACGAGUGGGGGACGGGUGAGCAAUAUAUCGGCACGUGCCCAGUAGCGGGGGAUAGCUAAUCGCAAGAACGACUAAUAACGCCUACUCUUGGAGCGGCCGAACUCGGAUUAGCGAGAUGGUGGGGUAAAGGCUACCAAAGGCAACGAUCCGUAGCGGGUCUGAGAGGACGACCAGCCACACUGGGACUGAGACACGGCCCAGACUCCUACGGGAGGCAGCAGUGGGGAAUUUUGGACAAUGGGGGAAACCCUGAUCCAGCCAUCCCGCGUGUAUGAGAAGGCCUUCGGGUUGUAAAGUACUUUUGGCAGAGAAGCGGUAUCUGCAGAAUAAGCACCGGCUAACUACGUGCCAGCAGCCGCGGUAAUUC
rnacentral:rRNA from 1 species